CCUGAAAAUUUGACAACUCCAUGAGCUCAUGAGCUCUUAUUCUUCACUAACCUACAUCAUAUACGCUUCGUCACUCACUGACAUGCCUGUUGCGCCUCACCCUGUUGGGUCCUCAUUGCUCGGCACAUUAGCUCCAUCAUCAUCAUCAUCCUCGAAUGACCAACCCACAAAGUUUCACACUUCAAGCUCCAUUAAACUCAAAACCACAACAAAUGGUGGCUCAGAAACUGUUGCUAUGAAGUCUCUCGGUCUUCUCUAUGACCGUCUGUGUGCGCCAAUUUGAUCCUGUUGAACCCAAAUAGGUGACUCAACUAUCAUUGAGAAUAAGACUUCAAGUUUUUUUUUUUGCAAAACUAUUUGUAACACUAUCAAGACUUCAAGUUAAAGAGACAAAACUCAAAGAAGAAAACCUCACUCUAUUCUUCUUCGAUUCUUUAUCUCUAUUUUUUUUUUUUUUUUAUCAAACUACCAUGAACUCAGAAACAUGAAAGAUGUCCACAAACUAGACAGAUUAGAAUAUUUAUUUGAUUCAGUAAUGAACUUCUUUUUUUUUUUUUCCUUCCAUUAAAAACAACUAUGUGGGUAGAUCUCUCAUGAUCUCUGACAAAGCUUUUUGAAAAUAAUUCUUCUUUCUGUUUACAAUAAUGCAUGUUAUAACAAAGAGGAUACUAAUAAUAAUAUCAUUUGCAGGGCACAGCGCAAUGCAGAAAGAAGUGCUCAACAUGGGAUUUGCAAGUUUGUGCCAGCCUGAAAAUUUGACAACUCCAUGAGCUCAUGAGCUCUUAUUCUUCACUAACCUACAUCAUAUACGCUUCGUCACUCACUGACAUGCCUGUUGCGCCUCACCCUGUUGGGUCCUCAUUGCUCGGCACAUUAGCUCCAUCAUCAUCAUCAUCCUCGAAUGACCAACCCACAAAGUUUCACACUUCAAGCUCCAUUAAACUCAAAACCACAACAAAUGGUGGCUCAGAAACUGUUGCUAUGAAGUCUCUCGGUCUUC
rnacentral:lncRNA from 1 species